UUGAAUUGAAGAGUUUGAUCAUGGCUCAGAUUGAACGCUGGCGGCAGGCUUAACACAUGCAAGUCGAACGGUAACAUAAAGAAGCUUGCUUCUUUGAUGACGAGUGGCGGACGGGUGAGUAAUGCUUGGGAAUCUAGCUUAUGGAGGGGGAUAACUACGGGAAACUGUAGCUAAUACCGCGUAAUAUCGAAAGAUUAAAGUGUGGGACCUUCGGGCCACAUGCCAUAGGAUGAGCCCAAGUGGGAUUAGGUAGUUGGUGAGGUAAAGGCUCACCAAGCCGACGAUCUCUAGCUGGU
rnacentral:rRNA from 1 species